CGCUGGGUAGGGGUGUAUACCGGGGCAGCAGCUCCUGAGACCGCUGCAGAGUCGCAUCUCCUCCGUAUGGUUAGAGGGAGAACUGAUAUCUGAUCAUCGAUUAAGACAGAUCUAUAUGUUUUAGCAACUCUUGAAUCCGUGUUUUUAAAGGCAUAAUUGCGCGAGAUUUCCUCCUGGAUGGAAUAGACGUCAAGGCCAUUUUUCUGUGGGCGCGAGACUGUUGACAGUUCUWGGGCUGGACCGGAGACGGAAAGAUCAAUGUGAUUGAUCAAUCUCCCUCCUCCCUGGAAGACAUCGGGCUGUUGUGGAGCAGCUAGGCGACGGGAUUCGCGUGGGACGCAGGGAAUAACGGACAUUUACAUUGAAGCAGCGCACAAAGGGAAAAACAUUCAUGUAGUCUACCGACAAUAACUUUUAUGGUACACGGUUCGUGUGUCGGUUUGAUUGGGAAAUGAAGCAGGCCCGGUUUAACGCGGGGAGGAGGGCUCGGUCUGGGCCGUGUGUGUUGCGGCAGGGUUCGAGUGGGGUCGGUAACAUCAUCAGUAACGUCCUGAAGAAAGGAACGGAAUCUCCCGGAGAGCGCCCCGUCUGCUCUGCACGCUCGAGCCAGGAGUGGACACCAGGUUAAAGUUCACCAUCGAACCUUCUCUGGGCAAGAAYGGCUUCCAACAGUGGUAUGAUGCUCUGAAGGCUGUGGUCAGACUUCCUACAGGCAUCCCUAAAGAGUGGAGGAAGAGGGUACGUUAUAGUAGUGCCACUGAUGUAACCGAUGUGAUGGUACUUCCCAUCUCUCCAGCAGUGUUUAUAAUGACCGUCCAGCCAGCGGUCCCCGUUGAUUGGUGUUUAUAAUGACCGUCCAGCCAGCGGUCCCAGUUGAU